UAGCUUACGCGGAAGUGGGAGUUCUCGUGGACGCAUUCCUGCUCGAAUAAAAAACGGGGGCCAUCAUCCACCUCCUCUCCGCGGAUUCAGAUUACAUAUUCGCUCGAUCGAUCGAUUUGGACCGAACGCUCACCAUGAAGACCCUCUUCAACCGAAAACCCAACCCCAAAGAAGCUCUUCGAGAGAGCAAGAGAGAGAUGAAUCAGGCCACCAGAGGCAUAGAGAAGGAGAUUGGAGCACUUCAGCUAGAAGAGAAAAAACUAGUUGCUGAGAUAAAGAGAACCGCUAAAACAGGAAAUGAGGCAGCUACUAAAAUUCUAGCCCGCCAGCUAGUUAGGCUAAGACAACAAAUAGCAAACUUGCAAGGAAGUCGAGCUCAAAUGAGAGGCAUCGCAACUCACACACAGGCAAUGUAUGCUCAGUCUUCGAUUGCUGUCGGCAUGGAAGGUGCUAGCAAGGCAAUGUCAGCUAUAAAUAAGCAAAUGGCCCCAGCAAAGCAAGCAAAUGUUAUUCAGGAAUUUCAAAAGCAGUCGGCUCAAAUGGAUAUGACUACCGAAAUGAUGUCAGAUGCUAUUGACGAUGCAUUGGACAAUGAUGAGGCUGAAGAUGAAACUGAAGAGUUGACAAAUCAGGUGUUGGAUGAGAUUGGUGUUGAUGUUGCCUCGCAGUUGUCAACUGCUCCAAAAGGAAGAAUUGCAACAAAGCAAAGUGAGGAUGUUGGCAGUUCGGGAAUUGAUGAGCUUGAGAAGCGGUUGGCAGCGCUAAAGAAUCCAUGAGCUGAAGAUUGAGAAAUGAAAAUAUGAUGAAUUGACAAGUAGAGGAUCAUUCAUAUUUGUUCCAACUUGUACACUGGUACAAAGCAUAAGUUCCCGAAGUUGGUUUUAGUCCUCUAGGGGCUGCGCAAUUGCUCCGGACAAGAAAAUACCAAAAUAAAAUUAACGGAUUUCUCUUUUCCUUACUGGGGAUGGAAAUGGAUUGGCUUUAAUAUGGUUCCCAUCGUCCCACCCAACCCUAAUACGACAAACUGUGUAGACGCAUAAUUUGGUCGAAGUAAGUACAUUAUUCCUUGUUAU